AGAGUUUGAUCAUGGCUCAGAAUCAACGCUGGCGGCGGCCUAACACAUGCAAGUCGAACGAGAAAGCAGGAGCAAUCUUGUGAGUAAAGUGGCGUACGGGUGAGUAACACGUGGAUUAUCUACCUUCUUGUGGGGGAUAACCCUGGGAAACCGGGGCUAAUACCGCAUAAGCUCGAGAGAGGAAAGCAGCAAUGCGCUGGAAGAGGAGUCCGCGGCCGAUUAGCUAGUUGGUAGGGUAAAAGCCUACCAAGGCUACGAUCGGUAGCCGGCCUGAGAGGGCACACGGCCACACUGGCACUGAAACACGGGCCAGACUCCUACGGGAGGCAGCAGUGGGGAAUCUUGCACAAUGGGGGCAACCCUGAUGCAGCGACGCCGCGUGAGCGAUGAAGCCCUUCGGGGUGUAAAGCUCUUUCGGCAGGGAAGAUUAUGACGGUACCUGCAGAAGCAGCUGCGGCUAACUACGUGCCAGCAGCCGCGGUAAUACGUAGGCAGCAAGCGUUGUUCGGAGUUACUGGGCGUAAAGGGUGUGUAGGCGGUUCUCUAAGUCUGGUGUGAAAUCUCCCGGCUCAACUGGGAGGGUGCGCCGAAAACUGGAGGGCUAGAGUGCGGGAUGGGAGAGUGGAAUUCCUGGUGUAGCGGUGAAAUGCGUAGAUAUCAGGAGGAACACCUGUGGUGUAGACGGCUCUCUGGACCGCAACUGACGCUGAGACACGAAAGCGUGGGUAGCAAACAGGAUUAGAUACCCUAGUAGUCC
rnacentral:rRNA from 1 species